CUCCUUACACGAGAAAACACCGGCCGCGGCUGCUGCAUCUCAUCCCACACAUCCUCGACACCUCUCCCGUAGAUCGAACUCGCGUGACUCUUCCUCUCCUCUCCCCCACGGACGACCAUGGCAGGGCGCCGCCGCUGGCCACCAGGCCAGGCCAAGCCGCUGGUAGUCCAAGCUCGACUUUCUCCCCUAGGUGCAACUUCAUCUCCUCCUCUCUCGUCCCUUCCCCAGCGCGCCUUCCCAUGUUCGAAACCCUAGCUACGGCCACCGGCGACACAGCAACAAUGGCUGCUAUGGUGGCGCUCCGACCAAGGACGAGGCGGGGCGACACCUUCAUGGCCUUGGAGGACGCAGGCUCUGCCACUCGCGACUUCGACUCCGCUCCCUUCCUUGCCCCAUCGCGACCUCGACAUCGGCGCGCUCCGCCUGUAGGCGCUCCUGUUUGGUGUCAUGGCGACCGACGGAGAUUGAAUCGCCGGAGGCGUGCUCAUCCGGGGAGGUGUCUCCUGAAUCGGCGGCGGCGGAGGCGCGCCCAUCUAAGCCGGUGGCGCUACAGGUGCUCGUCGACCUUGUGCGUGCCGGGGACAUGGACGUCGCCCGCAAGGUGCGCUGCCUCACCCGGACCUCCGCGAGGCACAGGACAUUGUUGACCAUAUUGCGAUGUCUUGUUGUCUAAUAGGGGCAUGGAUUAUACUUAGAUCAGCAUCAAGAAGGACGAGCAGAAGAUAAUAGAGACAUCAAACAAGAUUAAAACCUCGGUGGUAUCUCAACAUUGCGAUAAUUUGAUUGUGCAUUUGAGGAUAUAUGUGUUGCUUACUUAUUAUAUUUAAACUCUGGAAACAGACAAUUGACUGUCAGUUAUGAGCAGCUUUUACCAAUUGUGAGCCCAGUUUUUUCUUUUGCUUCUCUCCGGUGCAUGCAACACAGAACCAUCUUUAAUCCCUAUAUGAUCUACUAAUAAAUCCCUCUAUCAAAGACUGAUGCUUAUAUGACGAAGUCUUUAACCGUCAAACAUAUUUUUCAAGAUAGUUAUGGCUAAUGCUUCUUCUGUUCAGAUGAAGCAAUUCACUGCUGCUACCAACUGAUGCUAGCUGCUCUUCCCAUUGAGAUUGCAAGUAUUGAAGUACUCGACACGUCAAGCUUCUGUGACAUUCAUAUAGCACCAAUUUUGGUUCUAAUGGUGCUCAUCGAUAUCAGCCCACUCAAGGAUGCAGGGAUGUCGUCACGCCUGAUCUUAAGGAGUCAUGCUAUCUGUUCCUCAUCGGCUAUGACUUCACAGUGAUGGAUUCAUGUACUGGAGAUCACACUGCCCAUAGGCUAUCCUGAAAGUCCUUCAAUCUCUGUGGACAUACCAUUAUAUCUCCUAAAAAUAAAGUGGUAAAAAACAUCAAGAGUGAACUCCUCCAGCAGUGGGAUCAAGGUCAUGGACAAAGCACAUCCAUAGUUGCAGGAUUAGGUCCCCAUCCUGAUUUGGAGCAUUGGAGUGGAUGAAGUCUUUUGCAUCGAACCAUCUUCCUUCUACUAAUUAUAAUAUAUAAAUAUGCUUCUGGCUAUACUGGGUUAGACUGCUGCCCUAAGUCAUGUAUUAUGUGGAAGCACCGUGUCUUAUACACAUGUGCUCAUCUAUAUUUCAGCUUUCAUUUACUUGUAGCUGAACCAUCUGCCAUUUGGAUGUCUUCAAUUAUUUAUAGUGACUGACCAAAAUAAUCUCAUGUCUGGCUUUCAUUCAUGGAUGGACUUUGUUGCCAGCAGCAACCCCAAACAAAACAUGUACGACCUUGGUUCUGAAAGUAGGGAACAAAACAUAU